AGCUCCAUUAGCGUAUAUUAAAGUUGUUGCGGUUAAAAAGCUCGUAGUUGGAUCUGCGGUCGUGUGACGCUGGUCCCCCACUGGGUGUGCACUAGUCGUCGCGACCUAACUCGCUGGUUUUCUCCUGGUGCUCUUAACUGAGGGCCUGGAGUAGCUAGCACGUUUACUUUGAAAAAAUUAGAGUGCUCAAAGCAGGCGAACGCCUGAAUAGUGGUGCAUGGAAUAAUGGAAUAGGACCUCGGUUCUAUUUUGUUGGUUUUCGGAGCUCGAGGUAAUGAUUAAGAGGGACGGACGGGGGCAUUCGUAUUGUGGCGUUAGAGGUGAAAUUCUUGGAUCGCCGCAAGACGGACAACUGCGAAAGCAUUUGCCAAGAAUGUUUUCA
rnacentral:rRNA from 1 species